CUGAUGUGGGCUCAUACAAGAAGGCUCAACAGAAGGUAGGAUGAUUUCUGGAAUGGUUUUCUGGGCUCCGAAGAUUGGAUUUUUUAAAAGUGUGUAGAAUGGAAAAAUCCACUUCGCCUCUUUCAAGUUAAAAUAAAUUGUUUCUAUUUGGCUGUUGUAAUGGUCAGAAAUCAAGGAUCUAUUAAAACCCCAUUCUUUUUAGAGAUGUGAAGCCGAAGAAAUCUGAAUUCAGGUAUUUUAAUGCAGCAUGCAUGUAGAAAAAGAGCCUGAACCCAUGCCCAUGCUGCAGAAGAGAGCAGAGGUUGCUCAGUUAAAGACACAGACACCAAAUAUGUUUAACCCUACAGUGAUAUUAAGUCAUACACAUACACUGUAUAUGCCUACACACCAAGAAAACAGCUUCGAACCCCCAAAUUACUGACCAUCUCUGGAGGAUGCCAGGUAACCAACUCAUUAACUUAAGAACUAGUAAAUAAAGCGGAAAAAUUAAACAAAUAACAACUCGUUUCUAUACAUACCAUAUCACCGCGUAAUCAAAUAGCAAAUGACUCUUGAUUCAAG
rnacentral:lncRNA from 1 species